ACCUGAUGCUCUAGGCUAUGCCCAACAGUUGGUGGCAAUAAUGCAACAAGCUGUUAUACUAAAUGCCAAAAAAAGGAAAGAAGAACACGCAUCCCGACCAUGUGAACGCUAUCAGAAAAACAACAUAAUCACGGGGGCGGUCAGUCAUAUGCCCAGGUGGCAUCAACAUACCAUAAAUCAUUAGUGGGAGUGUGUGCCAUGGUGUUUACUAAUGUUACCAGAAACCAAACCCACAGUUUUUGAUGGCUCUAUAGUAUAUUAACAAAAAAAUUACUUAUUUUUCCAAACAUUAACUUGCUAUAUUGAAUAUUCAAUGUUAUAGAGAAGUGCUUUAAAAACAGUUUUUAAGGGAUUUUAAGCCAUUUAUAUGGUACAUGAAACCACAUUUUGCCUUUUUAACCAGGUCUAGCUAACUAAUUAUAUAAACUUCCUUGUUAUAUGAAUAAACAGGGCAGCACCAGUGCCAUGAUCUGCCUGGGAGAAAACACCACCACCAAUGUACUUUUCUACUAAGCUCUUGAGUUUGAAUUUCUCCAGAUGUCUGUUGUUUAAGCCAGAGGGAAGCCUUUAGAGAAACAAGUUUCAUGAAUUUAAUAUGGAUACAAUUUAGGUUAAAUCACUAUGUUGUUGAUGAAUGUUGCUGAUUAUUACUUUGCCAACGCUUCAUUUGCCGCAUCCCAUUGUGUCUACUUUAUAUGUAUUGCAAUUACUUGGUGCAUUCAUAUAUGCAGGACUCUGGGAAUGGAGGCAUGUUGAAAGAUAUUUUGAAGGCCAAGGAAGUGGUGGCCAUUUUGGAUCGGUUUCCAGAGAACUUAUAAAGAAUUAGUUUGGAGACUUGAGUUGAAUUACACUUUUUAUGAAUCUCAGUCGACACUGCCGAGGCUAAACCCCUCACCAUUGUUUGAGCGUAAACUUUGUUAUAUAAAAGAUCAACUAAAUAAUUUUAGACAGGCAAAUGUCAGGCAAGUACAAUUCUUGACAUAUAACCUGACAGUGGAAGUGUCAUGGUUGAUGUUGAGAUAAAGUUAGGUAGUGAUCUCUGAGAAGAAUUAAGCAUUUCACAUUGUUAGAUAUUUUUUGAAAACACUAGUUUGUGGAAGCAAUGACAGACUGAGAUAUGUUAUAUAUAGAAAUAUGUAGUAGUUACUGUGGUGGUUGUGUGAUCUUGAGUUUCCAUGCACUAUUAAAAAGUCCCACAGAAUGUCAAAGGCAUAUUCAAAGACAUUUUAAGACACUUUUUUAUGGAUACCAAAUAAUUUGUUCACAUAACACAGCAUUGAAGAUAACAAGUGAAAAGAAAAUAUACCUGUUAAUCUCUUUUACCUGCUCUGGUGCUAAUAAGUGCUGUUGCUGCACGCACGGAAGCCCUUGCCUUAUGGUUUAGUCAGUUCAUAAAUUACUGUAAGUGGACCCAGUACAAGAACAGACACAGAUACACCCUCAGAGCACACAGACCAUAAUUACAGGAAGCACACGCACAGCACCAUUCAACCUCACUAAAGGGAAUUCAAACUGUUUUCAUAGGAGCCACAGUGUGCAUUGACAAACUCGCAGAAUGUCAAAAUGUAAAUGGGUUGUACUAGAUGUUUAGCUUUGGACACUUUUUCACUUCAUUUCACUAACAGACAACAGAAAAUACAUAUACUCUUUACUGUGCCUGUUGUUGUGGUGAAAGCUGGUUUUGUGCAGUGUUUACCAAGUGGAUGUGUUGUAUGUGUGUGUGUGGUUGUGUGUGUUGACUGGAAAGGUACAGUUGGGGGUUGUGAUAGUUGAUGUAUUUUCUCGUUGGUUGUAACAACUUCUGAAUUUAUUUACACGUAUUUAGAACACAGUAAUACACUUCUUGAAUGUCUGCCAUAUACUUUAUAUACAGUUAAUUAAAGUGUUAUCUAUUUUUGUGUCAAUGGGGAGGAAACUGUGUGACAGUUGAAUAGUGACUCACAUAUUAACCCACCCUGUGGGCAAUGCUAUUGUGGAUUGCUAUUGUUUUUUCUAUUCCUUGAUUUGAUCUUUUAGAGGCGUUAUGUCUAAGUAGCUCUGGCGCUUUUUACAUCCCCUGCUCUAAAACCACAAAGGGUAAUGAUGGAAACCAGCAGAGCUCAUCUUAAAAUCAAUCUUUCAAGACUUUUGAUGCUUUUUAACAGUGUGAAACAGAAGCACAGCCUUUACAGCACAACAGUCAAACACACCAUGUAACAGAUUGGCAGUUGCUCUCUUGCACAUGUAGAGAUACAUCAUAUCAUUGGAAUCCAAAUUUCAAUUCAAUUUUUAUUUAUAGUAUCAAUUCAUAACAAGUUAUCUUAAGACACUUUACAGAUAGAAUAGGUUUGGACCACACUAUACAAUUUUAGUAAUUUUGUCAAAAGUAAAAAAUAAAUAAAAUAAAAUCCACUAAUGCAAUAUUUGUUUUAUGAUCAGGCUGCAUCGUUUGAUUUGACUUUCGUAAAUCAACUCUUAUGUCUUGCAUUUAACUGCCAGCAGAAUAAGGGGAGUGAUCUUGUUAAAUCAACAGAAGGUGUACAGGAAUAUAAAUAGUAUGAUCUUCACACUGUUAGUGGGUGUCAGAUGCUCCAUAGUCAAGCCUAUUAUCAGUUAAGAAGUAGAUUUCUGUGCAUCCCUAAACGAUGCACCAUAGUGACAAAAUAUUCUUCAACAACUCUUCAUAGAAUAAUUGUAAAAUGUAUUAAUUAAAAUAAAAAAGAAUAAAAAGAUCUUUCUACCUAGCCAUGGAAGCAAAAACAGGCCAAAAGGAUUUUAAUCUUGCAAGCAACUGAAUAUCUAGAUGUGAGAAUUAAACGAUAAUAAAUCCCCCUUUUAAAAAAAAUGGUUAGAAUGCACACUUGAUUUUAAAUGUGUUUAAGGGUAUGGAAAAUUGUACCCAAAAUUUAAGUAAACUACAUUCAGGUCAUUUUCAGAUCUAAAAUUUUAGGUUGAGUAAAAAA